UCGAAUGCUGACAUAAGUAACGAUAAAGCGGGUGAAAAGCCCGCUCGCCGGAAGACAAGGGUUCCUGUCCAACUAUCGGGGCAGGGUGAGUCGACCCUAAGGCGAGGCCGAAAGGCGUAGUCGAUGGGAAACAGGUUAAUAUUCCUGUACUUGGUGUUACUGCGAAGGGGACGGAGAAGGCUAUGUUGGCCCGGGCGACGGUUGUCCCGGUUUAAGCGAUGUAGGCUGGUUUUCCAGGCAAAUCCGGAAAAUCAAGGCUGAGGCGUGAUGACGAGGCACUACGGUGCUGAAGCAACAAAUGCCCUGCUUCCAGGAAAAGCCUCUAAGCAUCAGGUAACAUCAAACCGUACCCCUAAACCGCACAGGUGGUCAGGUAGAAGAAUACCAAGGCGCUUGAGAGAACUCGGGUGAAGGAACUAGGCAAAAUGGUGCCGUAACUUCGGGAGAAGGCACGCUGAUAUGUAGGUGAAGCGACUUGCUCGUGGAGCUGAAAUCAGUCGAAGAUACCAGCUGCUGCAACUGUUUAUUAAAACACAGCACUGUGCAAACACGAAGUGGACGUAUACGGUGUGACGCCUGCCCGGUGCCGGAAGGUUAAUUGAUGGGGUUAGCGCAAGCGAAGCUCUUGAUCGAAGCCCCGGUAAACGGCGGCCGUAACGAUAACGGUCCCAAGGUAGCGAAAUUCCUUGUCGGUAGUUCCGACCUGCACGAAUGGCGUAAUGAUGGCCAGGCUGUCUCCACCCGAGACUCAGUGAAAUUGAACUCGCUGUGAAGAUGCAGUGUACCCGCGGCAAGACGGAAAGACCCGUGAACCUUUACUAUAGCUUGACACUGAACAUUGAGCCUUGAUGUGUAGGAUAGGGAGGCUUAAGUGUGGACGCCAGUCUGCAUGGAGCCGACCUUGAAAUACCACCCUUUAAUGUUUGAUGUUCUAACGUUGACCCGUAAUCCGGGUUGCGGACAGUGUCUGGUGGGUAGUUUGACUGGGCGGUCUCCUCCUAAAAGUAACGGAGGAGCACGAAGGUUGGCUAAUCCUGGUCGGACAUCAGGAGGUUAGUGCAAUGGCAUAGCCAGCUUGACUGCAAGCGUGACGGCGCGAGCAGGUGCGAAAGGCAGGUCAUAGUGAUCCGGUGGUUCUGAAUGGAAGGGCCAUCGCUCAACGGAUAAAAGGUACUCCGGAGAUAACAGGCUGAUACCGCCCAAGAGUUCAUAUCGACGGCGGUGUUUGGCACCUCGAUGUCGGCUCAUCACAUCCUGGGGCUGAAGUAGGUCCCAAGGGUAUGGCUGUUCGCCAUUUAAAGUGGUACGCGAGCUGGGUUUAGAACGUCGUGAGACAGUUCGGUCCCUAUCUGCCGUGGGCGCUGGAGAACUGAGGGGCUGCUCCUAGUACGAGAGGACCGGAGUGGACGCAUCACUGGUGUUCGGGUUGUCAUGCAAUGGCACUGCCCGGUAGCUAAAUGCGGAAGAGAUAAGGCUGAAAGCAUCUGCACGAAACUUGCCCCGAGAUGAGUUCUCCUGACCCUUUAAGGGUCCUGAAGGAACGCUGAAGACGACGACGUUGAUAGGCCAGGUGUGUAAGCGCAGCGAUGCGUUGAGUCCGGUACUAAUGAACCGUGAGGCUAA
rnacentral:rRNA from 1 species